rnacentral:rRNA from 1 species
UGGGUUAGUGGCGGACGGGUGAGUAACGCGUGGGCAACCUGCCUUACACAGGGGGAUAACACUUAGAAAUAGGUGCUAAAACCGCAUAAGCGCACAGCUUCGCAUGAAGCGGUGUGAAAAACUCCGGUGGUGUAAGAUGGACCCGCGUCUGAUUAGCUUGUUGGCGGGGUAACGGCCCACCAAGGCGACGAUCAGUAGCCGGCCUGAGAGGGUGGACGGCCACAUUGGGACUGAGACACGGCCCAAACUCCUACGGGAGGCAGCAG